UACGGGGGGUGCGAGCGUUGUCCGGAAUCACUGGGCGUAAAGGGCGCGUAGGUAGUCUGAUAAGGGUGUGGUGAAAGCCCGGGGCUCAACCCCGGGUCGGCCGUGCCGACUGUUAGACUAGAGUGCUGUAGGGGCAGGCGGAAUUCCGGGUGUAGCGGUGGAAUGCGUAGAGAUCCGGAGGAAGACCGGUGGCGAAGGCGGCCUGCUGGGCAGUUACUGACACUGAGGCGCGACAGCGUGGGGAGCAAACAGG
rnacentral:rRNA from 1 species